rnacentral:rRNA from 1 species
UACGUAGGGGGCGAGCGUUGUCCGGAAUUAUUGGGCGUAAAGAGCUCGUAGGCGGUUCGGCAAGUCACGUGUGAAAUCUCCACGCUCAACGUGGAGGCGCCACGUGAGAUUGCUGUGACUCGAGUCCGGUAGGGGAGCGUGGAAUUCCCGGUGUAGCGGUGAAAUGCGCAGAGAUCGGGAGGAACACCCGUAGCGAAGGCGGCGCUCUGGGCCGGUACUGACGCUGAGGAGCGAAAGCGUGGGGAGCAAACAGG